GUUUUUUCAUUUUUUUUUCCUUUAUU
rnacentral:sRNA from 1 species